GACGAACGCUGGCGGCGUGCUUAACACAUGCAAGUCGAACGGUGACGAGGAGCUUGCUCCUCCGAUCAGUGGCGAACGGGUGAGUAACACGUGAGUAACCUGCCCCAGACUCUGGGAUAACAGUUGGAAACAGCUGCUAAUACCGGAUACGAGACGGAGAGGCAUCUCUACCGUCUGGAAAGUUUUUCGGUCUGGGAUGGACUCGCGGCCUAUCAGCUUGUUGGUGAGGUAAUGGCUCACCAAGGCGACGACGGGUAGCCGGCCUGAGAGGGCGACCGGCCACACUGGGACUGAGACACGGCCCAGACUCCUACGGGAGGCAGCAGUGGGGAAUAUUGCACAAUGGGCGAAAGCCUGAUGCAGCGACGCCGCGUGAGGGAUGACGGCCUUCGGGUUGUAACCGUCUUUCUAGCAGGAAGAAGCGAAAGUAGACGGUACCUGCAGAAGAAGACACCGGCUAACUACGUAGCCAGCAGCCGCGGUAAGU
rnacentral:rRNA from 1 species